rnacentral:tRNA from 1 species
GCACCCGUAGCUCAGCUGGAUAGAGCAUCCGCCUUCUAAGCGGAGGGUCGCAGGUUCGAAUCCUGCCGGGUGUA